rnacentral:rRNA from 1 species
GACAGAGGGGCCGAGCGUUAGGCGGAAUCACUGGGCUUAAAGCGUGUGUAGGCGGGCGGGCAAGUACCUUGUGAAAUCCCACGGCUCAACCGUGGAACGGCUGGGUAUACUGCCUGUCUUGAGCCAACUAGGGGCGAGCGGAACAGACGGUGGAGCGGUGAAAUGCGCAGAUAUCAGGAAGAACACCCGUGGCGAAGGCGGCUCUCUGGUACGUGACUGACGCUGAGACGCGAAAGCGUGGGGAGCGAACAGG